rnacentral:rRNA from 1 species
GACGAACGCUGGCGGCGUGCUUAACACAUGCAAGUCGAACGGAAAGUCCCUGCUUUUGUGGGGUGCUCGAGGUGCGAACGGGUGAGUAACACUUGAGUAACCUGCCCUUGACUUUGGGAUAACUUCAUGAAACUGGGGCUAAUACCGGAUAGGAUCUCCUGCUGCAUGGUGGGGGUUGGAAAGUUUCGGCGGUUGGGGAUGGACUCGCGGCUUAUCAGCUUGUUGGUGGGGUAGUGGCUUACCAAGGCUUUGACGGGUAGCCGGCCUGAGCGGGUGACCGGACACAUUGGGACUGAGAUAAGGCACAGACUCCUACGGGAGGCAGCAGUGGGGAAUAUUGCACAAUGGGAGGAAGCCUGAUGUAGCAACGCCGCGUGCGGGAUGACGGCAUUCGGGUUGUAAACCGCUUUCGCCUGUGACGAAGCGUGAGUGACGGUAAUGGGUAAAGAAGCACCGGCUAACUACGUG